CUAAGGCUCCAGAGGAAGCUACGGCUAACUCUGUGCCAGCAGCCGCGGUAAUACAGAGGCGGCAAGCGUUGUUCGGAAUUAUUGGGCGUAAAGAGCACGUAGGCGGCCUUGCAAGUCAGUUGUGAGAGCCUUCCGCUUAACGGAAGAAUGCCAGCUGAUACUACAGGGCUUGAGUACGGGGGGGGAGAGUGGAACUUCUGGUGGAGCGGUGAAAUGCGUAGAUAUCAGAAGGAACGCCGGCGGCGAAAGCGACUCUCUGGCCCGAAACUGACGCUGAGUGUGCGAAAGCUAGGGGAGCAAACGGGAUUAGAUACCCCGGUAGUCCUAGCCGUAAA
rnacentral:rRNA from 1 species